GUCCACUGAACCUUAUCAUUUAGAGGAAGGAGAAGUCGUAACAAGGUUUCCGUAGGUGAACCUGCGGAAGGAUCAUUGUCGAGACCUGCACGGCAGACCCGCGAACGCGUUCCACAGCUCACCAGGGAGGACGACGCCCAGCGUCGGAGACCCUUUCCGUCGGCGCGCCCUCGCGCUCGUCGCACGGCCCAACGAACCCCGGCGCGAAAAGCGUCAAGGAACACUCAAAAUACGUCGCCCGCCCCGGGAAGCCCCGUCCGCGGUGCGCUCUCGGGGAUGGGGCGCGUGUCGAAUUCGAAACGACUCUCGGCAACGGAUAUCUUGGCUCUCGCAUCGAUGAAGAACGCAGCAAAAUGCGAUACUUGGUGUGAAUUGCAGAAUCCCGUGAACCAUCGAGUUUUUGAACGCAAGUUGCGCCCGAAGCCGUCAGGCCGAGGGCACGUCUGCCUGGGCGUCACGCGCAGCGUCGCCCCCCACCCCCGCGAGGGGUGUCGGGCCGGAGAUUGGCCUCCCGUGCGCGUCCGCGCGCGGCCGGCCCAAGUGCGAUUCGGCAUCGACGCGUGCCGCGACGAUUGGUGGUUGAAGACCUCAACUCGCGCGUCGUCGUGCGGGAACGCGCCGUAUGCCUCGACCCCCCCGGGUGCUCCGCACCUCCGAAGCGACCCCAGGUCAGGCGGGAUCACCCGCUGAGUUUAAGCAUAUCAAUAAGCGGAGGA
rnacentral:rRNA from 1 species